AUUGAACGCUGGCGGCGUGCCUAACACAUGCAAGUCGAGCGGUAACAGGUGUAGCAAUACAUGCUGACGAGCGGCGAACGGGUGAGUAAUGCUUCGGAAUCUACCCAAUGGUGGGGAAUAACCAGCCGAAAGGUUGGCUAAUACCGCAUACGUCCCACGGGAGAAAGCAGGGGAUCGCAAGACCUUGCGCCAAUGGAUGAGCCGAAGUCGGAUUAGCUAGNGGUAGGGUAACGGCCUACCAAGGCGACGAUCCGUAGCUGGUCUGAGAGGACGACCAGCCACACUGGGACUGAGACACGGCCCAGACUCCUACGGGAGGCAGCAGUGGGGAAUAUUGGACAAUGGGGGAAACCCUGAUCCAGCGACGCCGCGUGUGUGAAGAAGGCCUGC
rnacentral:rRNA from 1 species